GCACUGCGGAAGAGUCCCACACUAGGACGAAACGGUCGUUCAGUGC
rnacentral:hammerhead_ribozyme from 1 species